rnacentral:rRNA from 1 species
AAAGGAAUUGACGGGGGCCCGCACAAGCAGUGGAGCAUGUGGUUUAAUUCGAAGCAACGCGAAGAACCUUACCGGGGAUUGACAUCAUGUCGAACUUGGUAGAAAUACCGAGGUGCCUACGGGAGCGACAAGACAGGUGGUGCAUGGUUGUCGUCAGCUCGUGUCGUGAGAUGUUGGGUUAAGUCCCGCAACGAGCGCAACCCCUAUGCUUAGUUGCUAGCACGUCAAGGUGAGCACUCUAAGCAGACUGCCACAGAGAAUGUGGAGGAAGGUGGGGACGACGUCAAAUCCUCAUGCCCUUCAUACCCCGGGCUACACACGUGCUACAAUGGCCUGUACAGCGGGAAGCGAAGGAGCGAUCUGGAGCGAAUCUCUGAAAGCAGGUCUCAGUUCGGAUUGCAGGCUGCAACUCGCCUGCAUGAAGUCGGAAUUGCUAGUAAUCACGGAUCAUCACGCCGUGGUGAAUGCGUUCCCGGGCCUUGUACACACCGCCCGU